rnacentral:rRNA from 1 species
CUUUAUUGGAGAGUUUGAUCCUGGCUCAGGAUGAACGCUGGCGGCGUGCCUAAUACAUGCAAGUCGAGCGAAUGGAUUGAGAGCUUGCUCUCAAGAAGUUAGCGGCGGACGGGUGAGUAACACGUGGGUAACCUAC